rnacentral:rRNA from 1 species
GAUGAACGUUGGCGGCGUGCCUAAUACAUGCAAGUCGAACGAAGACUGUAGUAAUACUGUCUUAGUGGCGAACGGGUGAGUAACGCGUGGGUGACCUGCCCCGAAGCGUGGGAUAACAGUUCGAAAGGAUUGCUAAUACUGCAUAAUAUCCAAGAGAUUAGACGCUUUUGGAUUAAAGGAGUAAUUCGCUUCGGGAGGGGCCCGCGUCCCAUCAGCUAGUUGGUAAGGUAAUGGCUUACCAAGGCGAUGACGGGUAGGGGACCUGAGAGGGUGGCCCCCCACAAUGGAACUGAAACACGGUCCAUACACCUACGGGUGGCAGCAGUAGGGAAUAUUAGUAAUGGGCGAAAGCCUGAACUAGCAACGCCGCGUGUGCGAAGAAGGCCUUCGGGUUGUAAAGCACUUUUUGAGAGGAUGGGGAAGGACGGUACUCUCAGAAUAAGUCUCGGCUAACUACGUGCCAGCAGCCGCGGUAACACGUAGGAGGCAAACGUUAUCCGGAUUUACUGGGCGUAAAGCGCGUGUAGGUGGUUUGGUAAGUAGGGCGUGAAAGCUCCUGGCUCAACUGGGAGAGGACGUUCUAAACUGCCAAGCUUGAGGAUGGUAGAGGGAGGUGGAAUUCCGGGUGUAGCGGUGGAAUGCGCAGAUAUCCGGAGGAACACCAGUGGCGAAGGCGGCCUCCUGGACCAUUCCUGACACUCAGACGCGAAAGCUAGGGUAGCAAACGGGAUUAGAGACCCCGGUAGUCCUAGCCCUAAACGAUGUAGACUUGGCGUCGGUGGUUUAAUCGCCAUCGGUGUCGUAGCUAACGCGUUAAGUCUACCGCCUGGGGACUACGGCCGCAAGGUUAAAACUCAA